rnacentral:rRNA from 1 species
ACCUGCCCUUAAGUAGGGGAUAACAUUUGGAAACAGAUGCUAAUACCGUAUAACAAUAGCAACCGCAUGGUUGCUACUUAAAAGAUGGUUCUGCUAUCACUAAGAGAUGGACCCGCGGUGCAUUAGCUAGUUGGUAAGGUAAUGGCUUACCAAGGCGAUGAUGCAUAGCCGAGUUGAGAGACUGAUCGGCCACAAUGGGACUGAGACACGGCCCAUACUCCUACGGGAGGCAGCAGUAGGGAAUCUUCCACAAUGGGCGCAAGCCUGAUGGAGCAACGCCGCGUGUGUGAUGAAGGGUUUCGGCUCGUAAAACACUGUUAUAAGAGAAGAACGGCACUGAGAGUAACUGUUCAGUGUGUGACGGUAUCUUACCAGAAAGGAACGGCUAAAUACGUGCCAGCAGCCGCGGUAAUACGUAUGUUCCAAGCGUUAUCCGGAUUUAUUGGGCGUAAAGCGAGCGCAGACGGUUAUUUAAGUCUGAAGUGAAAGCCCUCAGCUCAACUGAGGAAUGGCUUUGGAAACUGGAUGACUUGAGUGCAGUAGAGGAAAGUGGAACUCCAUGUGUAGCGGUGAAAUGCGUAGAUAUAUGGAAGAACACCAGUGGCGAAGGCGGCUUUCUGGACUGUAACUGACGUUGAGGCUCGAAAGUGUGGGUAGCAAACAGGAUUAGAUACCCUGGUAGUCCACACCGUAAACGAUGAGUGCUAGGUGUUUGAGGGUUUCCGCCCUUAAGUGCCGCAGCUAACGCAUUAAGCACUCCGCCUGGGGAGUACGACCGCAAGGUUGAAACUCAAAGGAAUUGACGGGGGCCCGCACAAGCGGUGGAGCAUGUGGUUUAAUUCGAAGCAACGCGAAGAACCUUACCAGGUCUUGACAUCCUCUGACAAUCCUAGAGAUAGGACGUCCCCUUCGGGGGCAGAGUGACAGGUGGUGCAUGGUUGUCGUCAGCUCGUGUCGUGAGAUGUUGGGUUAAGUCCCGCAACGAGCGCAACCCUUGAUCUUAGUUGCCAGCAUUCAGUUGGGCACUCUAAGGUGACUGCCGGUGACAAACCGGAGGAAGGUGGGGAUGACGUCAAAUCAUCAUGCCCCUUAUGACCUGGGCUACACACGUGCUACAAUGGC